UACGUAGGUGGCAAGCGUUGUCCGGAUUUAUUGGGUUUAAAGGGUGCGUAGGCGGCCCUGUAAGUCAGUGCUGAAAUAUCCCGGCUUAACCGGGAGGGUGGCAUUGAUACUGCGGGGCUAGAGUACAGAUGAGGUAGGCGGAAUUGACGGUGUAGCGGUGAAAUGCGCAGAUAUCAGGAGGAACACCGAUGGCGAAGGCAGCUCGCUGGGACGGUACUGACGCUGAGGCGCGAAAGCGUGGGGAGCAAACAGG
rnacentral:rRNA from 1 species